rnacentral:lncRNA from 1 species
GGGGGGAGGCUGCUGCUGUGAUCUAGGCCAGAGGUGACAGGGGCCGACAGUGAGGGUGCAGAUGAACAGACGGGCCUGAGAGGGCUCCGGGGCAGACUUGAGGGUCUGAGUAGCCCUGUGGGACAUGGAGUGAGGGGAAGACAGGCCAAGCUCCAGCCUGGAGUUCCAGCUGGAUGAUAAUACCAAGAGGAGCAGCUUCGGUGGGGCAAUGUUGAGUUUGAGGGGCCUGGAGGCUUCUUGGGGAACUGGCCAGAGGUGGGCUGGAUGCAUGGGUCUAGAGGUCAGGAGUGAGGUCUGGGCUGGAGAUGGAUAUCCAGGCAUUAUCAGCCUUGAAACAGCCCCUGAGGCCACAGGAGGCUGGGUGAGCCCUCCCAGGGGGAAUGAGUACUCCGGCAUGGCCGGGCCACAGGGAGCCUGCAGAGGGGGUGAGAUGCAGCAGUCAGGAGGGAGGGAGGAAAGCUGCCGACAGCAGAGGACAGAGGGUGUUUACACAUACAUGCACCACAAGCACCUGCACACGCACAUGAGUGCACCAACACACAUGUACCCGUGCUCUCCCAUACAUGCCUAACCAUGCGCACACAAAGCAUGCACUCACAGAAACCACUGCACAUGUGCACACACUCCGUGCUGCAUUCACAGAUGCAGAGCAUGUGCACACUUGUGUGCAUGCGAGUACAUACAUGCACACAUCCCCAUGCACAGAGGCCCCGUGCACACAGGGGUACACAUCCAUGCACAGGCUUCCCCGGAAGGGGGAGAACCAGCUGUUUCAAUGCUGCUGAGAGGUGGGUAGAGCUGAGCACUGCCAAGGGCUGACUGGAUUUAUCCACACAGAGGUCAUCUGUGACCUCCUGGGAGCAGCCUCAGGGGCGAGUGGAUCUAGGGAGCAUAGACAACUCUGUCAAGAAGUUUGGCUGUGGAGAGAUGAGAGAGGGUAAGAGCAGGAAGGGGGCAUGAAGUUCAGACAGGGCUUGGUUCACGUCAUGCCCUUUUUAAGGCAUCCUGGUGUGGACGCCGAUGGGGAGGGGCCAGUGUGGAGGGAGGAGCUAAGGUGUAAGAGAGGAGAGCCGCGUGUAGGAUCCCGGUGGAAACAGUAGGAGGGACUGGCUUUGGCAGGAGGGUGAGUGCUCCCUCCACUGUGGCAGGAGGGACGGAGGACAGAGUGGCUGCAGUCACAGGCAGGAUGAUGGACCGCUGGACCCCGUUCUGCAGCACGUGCCUGUGCCCUGAACCUUCUGGACUGCUGCCCUGGCCCGUCCGCCCUACCCCCAGCUUCUGAGCCAGCCACUCCCUGCCAUGCCCCGGGCAAGCCCCCCUGAGGCCGCCGCAGAGUCUCCGGGGCGGCUGUGGGCUUUGGGUGGUAUGAGUGAGGCGGGGCUGGCUGGGCAAGGAGGAAGGCCCAGCCGCACCAGGGGACGCCUCUUCCACUCUCUGGGCCUGCGGGAACUUCUGGGUGCCUUUGUUUUUUUAUUCUUUUUUAAGAAAAAUAAAAUGAUAAAAACUUCAAAGCUGAUUUUUCUUGUUACAGAAAAGCUAAUAUAAAAGCAUUACCCCGUCUGG